CUACUUUAGUAAUUUUUAAGUAUACAAUUCAGUGGCAUUACUUACAUCCACAGUGUUGUGCAAUCAUCACCCCUUCUUCCCCAAAUGUUUAGAUUUUUAUUCUUAAUUAAAAUAUUAUUUAAAAUGCUACAGGCAAUACUUAGUUGUGCAUUAAACAUUAUACAUUAGGAUCAGAAAUGUAAAAAAAUGCAAUUUUAUGUUUCUAAUAAUGUAAUUGUUGUUCAUUUACUAGUAGGUUGGCUUUGAUUUUUAUACUGUAGCUUGAUAGCUUCUUUAAGAAAAAAAGAUAAGUACUGUGUAUAAACACUAUUUCUACAUAGCUCAAUAAUUGUGGCAAGAAAAAAAGUACAUUCAAAUAAUUAACUUAUCGGGUAUUUUGGAACAACUCAACAUUUUAAUUUAUGUUAAUAAAUACAAAAAGUCUCUUAAAACAAGUCACAUGAAAAAAUAUUUUGUACUCAUGCUUUCUUUAGUUUGAAUUGACAUAUUUGAUUAACAUAUCAUAUAGACAUGAACAUAUUGAAGCUAUAGUCUAUGAUUAAACUCUUUAAUACAGUGAUAAUUUCAGACAACAUUCUUAAAGAGAAAAUUCUCAAACUGAAACAUAUGCUGUAUUCAUGCUAAUAUUUAAUUAAUGUGAAAUUAAGCUAACAAGAUAAACGGAACCUCUCCCUACCACCUCUUCACCAUAUUUUUUAGCCUGAGCACUAUAUUAACACAGCAAUUGAAUAUUUUUCUAACUUUCCAAAGUAUUUAAUAUUCCUUUCAAAACCUGUCCCUUAUGGUACUUAAUAACAUAAAUUAAAGUAUCUUAGUUAGAAUCAUUUACUAUGGAUUAAACUUUUGGUUCUUGAUUGAAAGAGUCAUUCAUCUGGAGAGACCAGUUUCUUUUAUUUUGUGUAAUUUUCCCUCAAAUAUGUAACACCAGGCCAAAAGAAGAUGUAUUCCAAAUUGAUAGUUCUUUGCCUUUGUUUUGCAGGUGUAAAUAGUGCAUACUACAAAUAACCUAAAAAUGGUCAUUCAAUUAAAUUUGUAACUUAGCUCUGAAAUGUAGUGUCAAGAAAAUUAUGAAAUAGAAUAAACUGG
rnacentral:lncRNA from 1 species